rnacentral:misc_RNA from 1 species
GAUGAAGAACGUAGCGAAAUGCGAUAAGUAAUGUGAAUUGCAGAAUUCAGUGAAUCAUCGAAUCUUUGAACGCACAUUGCGCCCCCUGGUAUUCCGGGGGGCAUGCCUGUUCGAGCGUCAUUUCACCACUCAAGCCUCGCUUGGUAUUGGGCAUCGCGGUCCGCCGCGCGCCUCAAAUCGACCGGCUGGGUCUUCUGUCCCCUAAGCGUUGUGGAAACUAUCGCUAAAGGGUGUUCGGGAGGCUACGCCGUAAAACAACCCCAUUUCUAAGGUUGACCUCGGAUCAGGUAGGGAUACCCGCUGAACUUAAGCAUAUCAAUAAGCGGAGGA